rnacentral:rRNA from 1 species
AACGAACGCUGGUGGCGUGUUUUAUACAUGCAAGUCGAGCGAGGACAGUAGCUUGCUACUGAGCCGAGCGGCGAACGGGUGAGUAACGCGUAAGCAAUCUGCCCCACAAUCGGGAACAACCGUGCCAACGCGCGGCUAAUGCCGGAUAUUGUGUCCUACUGCAUAGUAGGUUAACGAAAGAUUUAUCGGUGAUAGAUGGGCUCGCGUCUGAUUAGCUAGUUGGUGAGGUAAUGGCUCACCAAGGCGACGAUCAGUAGCCGGCCUGAGAGGGUGAACGGCCACAUUGGGACUGAGACACGGCCCAAACUCCUACGGGAGGCAGCAGUGGGGAAUAUUGCACAAUAGGAGGGAACUCUGAUGCAGCGACGCCGCGUGAGCGAUGAAGGCUUUCGAGUCGUAAAGCUCUGUCGAAUGGGAAGAUAAUGACGGUACCAUUUGAGAAAGCCCCGGCUAACUACGUGCCAGCAGCCGCGGUAAUCA